GAAUGCCAUUCGCUCCAUUUCUCAUGCACUAUGUGCCCGAGGCAACAUUUGUGAACCCUGUUGGACGACCUGCAUACCAAGCAGAGUGAUCAGGAAAUCUAUAAACAGCAAUUUGAAGUCAUGGGAGCACAUUAUGAUUAUUUCUGACAGAGUGUAGUAGAGCAUGUGCAUCUCAAUUUAGCACUAAUGGGUCAGCAGAUUAAGAGACGUCACAAGCACUGGAUCAAAUUGCAGCUGAGAGAAAGUCACCUUCUGACAGGUACCAAAGGGAGAAAAAGUCAGUCGAAUCUCUGCAGGGUCGGGCAUCGUAACCAUCUGCAGUUUAAUCUUAUCCCCGGUGCUUCAAACGGGCACGCUGGACAUAGAAGUUGUAAGCGAGCACUGAGUAGUCCACAUCAUCUGACGUGUCCUUGUCGUUUGCGGUCAGCGCUGGAUUGAUGCGCUUAGCGGUCACUGCAGCCCUCUUUGGCUGUCUCCGGCUGUCUGGAAAGCGCUUAAGCCAGCUCAGGCUGUCGAUAUACAAGUCUAUGUCCUCAACUGGCUCUGGACCUGCCACAGGAUCUGGGCGUGGCAUGUCGAGCGCAUAACCCACACAUAAUGGGCAAGGGCAGAAUCCUUGACCGCCGCACUCGCUACAUCGUGCAUUGCCCACAUAAAAGGGCACGCCUGCUCCUCCAGGCUG
rnacentral:lncRNA from 1 species